AGGACGAACGCUGGCGGCGUGCUUAAUACAUGCAAGUCGAACGGAGUUAGAGACUUCGGUUCUAACUUAGUGGCGAACGGGUGAGUAACGCGUGAGCAACCUGACUCAAAGAGGGGGACAACAGCUGGAAACGGCUGCUAAUACCGCAUAAGACCACAGCGCGGCAUCGCAAAGGAGUCAAAGAUUUAUCGCUUUGAGAGGGGCUCGCGUCCCAUUAGAUAGUUGGUGAGGUAACGGCCCACCAAGUCCGCGAUGGGUAGCCGAGCUGAGAGGCUGAUCGGCCACACUGGAACUGAGACACGGUCCAGACUCCUACGGGAGGCAGCAGUAGGGAAUAUUGGGCAAUGGGCGCAAGCCUGACCCAAGCAACGCCGCGUGAGGGAAGAAGGUUUUCGGAUUGUAAACCUCUGUCCUAUGUGACGAAGGAAGUGACGGUAGCAUAGGAGGAAGCCCCGGCUAACUACGUGCCAGCAGCAGC
rnacentral:rRNA from 1 species